AUUGAACGCUGGCGGCAGGCCUAACACAUGCAAGUCGAGCGGAUGAAGGGAGCUUGCUCCUGGAUUCAGCGGCGGACGGGUGAGUAAUGCCUAGGAAUCUGCCUGGUAGUGGGGGAUAACGUCCGGAAACGGGCGCUAAUACCGCAUACGUCCUGAGGGAGAAAGUGGGGGAUCUUCGGACCUCACGCUAUCAGAUGAGCCUAGGUCGGAUUAGCUAGUUGGUGGGGUAAAGGCCUACCAAGGCGACGAUCCGUAACUGGUCUGAGAGGAUGAUCAGUCACACUGGGACUGAGACACGGUCCAGACUCCUACGGGAGGCAGCAGUGGGGAAUAUUGGACAAUGGGCGAAAGCCUGAUCCAGCCAUGCCGCGUGUGUGAAGAAGGUCUUCGGAUUGUAAAGCACUUUAAGUUGGGAGGAGGGGCAGUAAGUUAAUACCUUGCUGUUUUGACGUUACCAACAGAAUAAGCACCGGCUAACUUCGUG
rnacentral:rRNA from 1 species